rnacentral:rRNA from 1 species
GACGAACGCUGGCGGCGUGCCUAAUACAUGCAAGUCGAGCGGGGAUUAUGCUUGAUCGCUUCGGUGAGACGGCAUAUAUCCUAGCGGCGGACGGGUGAGUAACGCGUGGGUAAUCUACCUCGUAGUUCGGGAUAACAGGCCGAAAGGCUUGCUAAUACCGGAUGAGUUCAUGCUUAUGCAUAUAGGCAUGAAGAAAGGGCUAGCCCGCUAUGAGAUGAGCCCGCGUCCCAUUAGCUUGUUGGUGGGGUAACGGCCUACCAAGGCAACGAUGGGUAGCCGGCCUGAGAGGGUGUACGGCCACACUGGGACUGAGACACGGCCCAGACUCCUACGGGGGGCAGCAGUAGGGAAUUUUCGGCAAUGGGCGAAAGCCUGACCGAGCGACGCCGCGUGAGGGACGAAGGCCUUCGGGUUGUAAACCUCUGUCUGGGGGGAUGAGAACGGACGGUACCCCCGGAGGAAGCCCCGGCUAACUACGUGCCAGCAGCCGCGGUAAUACGUAGGGGGCUAGCGUUGUCCGGAAUUACUGGGCGUAAAGGGCGCGUANGCGGUCGUGCCAGUC